CAACAAGUAAUACAAGAUGUAGUCUUUAUCUCUCCUCUGCGUUCUACUUCUCUGUCUUUGUUCAUUUCAAUUCAAUAAACCAUGAUUUCUAGCAUGGUAUCAGAGCCUCGGCUCUUAUCCUGUGGACUUCAUGCUUUCGUCUAUCUUUAGCUUCCGCUGUUAUCAUCAGUUUCUUUCGCUUUCAAUUUUCGUUUUCCCCAAUUUUCUAAAUCCCUAGCCUCAUAUCUCUAAGUUUCAUGCCCAGUCUAUUAAUUCGAAGCCGAUAAAUCCUCAAAUCGGAUUUCAUCAUCGUUACCCAGCCUUUUUCUCCUCUUCUUGUCACGCUCUGACAGAGAAUUUGGAAAUCUGAAUUCGGGACUUAGGGUCUGCAUCUGAGUCUGCUUCCAGUCCUCAACUUUGCUCUUUGUUCAGUCAUCUCUGUCGUCUCCUUUGGACACUUUGGUCGCUGGCGUAUCUCUUCUCGUUUUCUCAUCGAUUGGACUAGCGGCAGUAGAUGGUGAUUUGAUGUCAAAUGUGCAAUGGGUAUUCUGGACCAUCAUGUUACAAUUCGAAUCAAAUAAACUGCUUCUCUUGACACAACGUCACAACCCAGACAUAUUUUGAUUUACAAGAU